rnacentral:misc_RNA from 1 species
CCAAACUUGGUCAUUUAGAGGAAGUAAAAGUCGUAACAAGGUUUCCGUAGGUGAACCUGCGGAAGGAUCAUUACCGAGUUAGGGUUCUCUUCGUGAGGCCCGACCUCCCAACCCUUUGUCGAAUCUUACCACUUGUUGCUUCGGCGGGCCCGUCUCCGGACCGCCGGGGGAUCGUCAAAACGUCCUCUGGCCCGCGCCCGUCGAUAGCCCCCUAUUUAAAAAUUCUGAACGAACCACGAUGCUAUCUGAGUACCUACACAAAUAAAAAGCAAAACUUUCAACAACGGAUCUCUUGGUUCUGGCAUCGAUGAAGAACGCAGC